rnacentral:rRNA from 1 species
GUGCAGCAGUCGCGAAACUUUACAAUGUGCGAAAGCACGAUAAGGGAACUCUGAGUGCCUCCUAAGGAGGCUGUUCAGGUGUCUAAAAGCACCUGGAGUAAGGGCUGGGUAAGACCGGUGCCAGCCGCCGCGGUAACACCGGCAGCCCAGGUGGUAGCCACUUUUAUUGGGUCUAAAAGCGUCCGUAGCCGGUUGAGUAAGUUCCUUGGGAAAUUUGGCUGCUCAACAGUCAAGCUUCCAGGGAAUACUGCUCGACUUGGGGACUGGGAGAGGUCAGAGGUACUCCAGGGGUAGGGGUGAAAUCCAUUAAUCCCUGGGGGACCACCGGUAGCGAAGGCGUCUGACCAGACCAGGUCCGACGGUGAGGGACGAAGGCUAGGGGCGCGAACCGGAUUAGAUACCCGUGUAGU